UGACAAGCAUAAAUAAACAAAGAAUAGCUGUUGUGUGACAGCAGCAGGCAUUAGAAAGGAAGCCAACAGCAGGUCCUGUGAAUGCUGAGAUCACAUCUGUCCGUGUGACUAGUGGUCAGGGUUUGGCUUGAAUAAUCCAAAGAAAGAGAGGGCAGUAUUUUAACAGUCUCUUCAUGGUCUCAGAGAAGACUAUGAAAAUUCAUCAGAAGAAACCCAACCAGCCCACAACAUAUAUGCUAGCAAGAGAACAGCAUUAGAGUUCAACUGCAUCCCAAGGCCCUGAGCAGAAUUUCCCAUUGACCCACAAGGUUUCAUCAAGGGUCCAGGGCAGUCAGCUACCAGUGCCUACAUCUCAGCGCUGCUGUACUGAACUGAACAAGACAAAGCUAUUGUAUCACUCAAUGUAUGAAGAAAUGUAUGAAGAUAUAUAUGAAGAAACAGAGGUGAUUUUUUUUUGUUGUUGUUUUGUUUGUUUGUUUGUUUCUCCUCUUCUCUCUCCUCUUUCCUCUUCCUGGUAAGGUUAAUUUUUUUGUUGUUGUUGUCUUAUGAUAUAGUUUUGAUUAUUAAAAAUACAGAUUGUCUGAUUAAUUAUAAAUCAAUAGCCCAUUUAAAUUUGAAAUGAAGAAUUUCAGUCACUAAAAAAGAAAAUCUAGUCAUUCUGGUACAAACAUGGAAAAAAAAACAAUUAAAUAUUCCAAAAGUAUAGGUGAAAAUCACAUUUUUUCAAUUCCUUUUUAAGAAGUGUAUGCUUUGUAAUUCUUAAGUAGUAAUUUUCAUUUAGUCUCCAAAUAGCAUAGAACUUAAAUAAUAUUUCUACCCAGGCUCUCUGUACCAAAGGUAGUAGAGUGAUCUGCCUGAAUCUCUUCAACAUUACACCAUACAAUUUUUAGCGACUUUUAUGAUAUUUUUAGAAAUUGCUUCUGAUACUGUUAAGCUUCAGGUGAAGACAACUAAUCUUUACCACACCUAGAGGAUGUUUCCUGAAACUGGCCAGCCUCAAAUUGUGAUCUUGUUGUGUUUGAAGAGAAUAUCACAAGAUCUUGCUUGAUCUAGUCUGCAGACACAAGUUGAUGUAAGGAGACCUCAGCUUUGACUCAGCAGUGUGUGUGUAUGUGUACAUAGUUGAAUAUAUGUUUUAAUACAUUCAACUCAAGAAAUUAGUACUUAAAAAGAGUCAUCUCACAAAGCAAAUGAAGAAAAAUAUCACCCUUUAUUUCAUCAGCAAAGAAUGAUGGUAAGUGUCUGUCAUGCAAUAAAAGUUCUAACCUAGUUUCCUUCCA
rnacentral:lncRNA from 1 species